rnacentral:rRNA from 1 species
AUUGAACGCUGGCGGCAGGCCUAACACAUGCAAGUCGAACGAGUGGCGGACGGGUGAGUAAUGUCUGGGAAACUGCCUGAUGGAGGGGGAUAACUACUGGAAACGGUAGCUGAUACCGCAUACCAUCAGAUGUACCCAGAUGGGAUUAGCUAGUUGGUGGGGUAACGGCUCACCAAGGCGACGAUCCCUAGCUGGUGUGAGAGGAUGACCAGCAACACUGGAACUGAGACACGGUCCAGCCUCCUACGGGAGGCAGCAGUGGGGAAUAUUGUACAAGGGGCGCAAGCCUGAUGCAGCCAUGCCGCGGGGAGGAAGAAGGCCUUCGGGUUGUAAAGUACUUUCAGCGGGGAGGCGUUACCCGCAGAAGAAGCACCGGCUAACUACGUGCCAGCAGCCGCGGUAAUUC